rnacentral:rRNA from 1 species
UNUGACUUGAGUGCAGAAGGGGAGAGUGGAAUUCCAUGUGUAGCGGUGAAAUGCGUAGAUAUAUGGAGGNACACCAGUGGCGAAAGCGGCUCUCUGGUCUGUCACUGACGCUGAGGCUCGAAAGCGUGGGUAGCGAACAGGAUUAGAUACCCUGGUAGUCCACGCCGUAAACGAUGAGUGCUAGGUGUUAGGCCCUUUCCGGGGCUUAGUGCCGGAGCUAACGCAAUAAGCACUCCGCCUGGGGAGUACGACCGCAAGGUUGAAACUCAAAGGAAUUGACGGGGGCCCGCACAAGCGGUGGAGCAUGUGGUUUGAUUCGAAGCAACGCGAAGAACCUUACCAGGUCUUGACAUCCCGAUGCUAUUCUUAGAGAUAGGAAGUUACUUCGGUACAUCGGAGACAGGUGGUGCAUGGUUGUCGUCAGCUCGUGUCGUGAGAUGUUGGGUUAAGUCCCGCAACGAGCGCAACCCUUAUUGUUAGUUGCCAUCAUUAAGUUGGGCACUCUAGCGAGACUGCCGGUAAUAAACCGGAGGAAGGUGGGGAUGACGUCAAAUCAUCAUGCCCCUUAUGACCUGGGCUACACACGUGCUACAAAGGUCGGUACAACGAGUUGCGAGCCGGUGACGGCAAGCUAAUCUCUGAAAGCCGAUCUCAGUUCGGAUUGGAGGCUGCAACUCGCCUCCAUGAAGUCGGAAUCGCUAGUAAUCGCGGAUCAGCACGCCGCGGUGAAUACGUUCCCGGGCCUUGUACACACCGCCCGUCACACCACGAGAGUUUGUAACACCCGAAGUCGGUGAGGUANCCUUUUAGGG